rnacentral:rRNA from 1 species
ACUCCUACGGGAGGCAGCAGUGGGGAAUAUUGCACAAUGGGGAAACCCUGAUGCAGCCAUGCCGCGUGUGUGAAGAAGGCCUUCGGUUGUAAGCACUUCUAGUAGGAGGAAGGUAGUGUAGUUAACACCUGCAUUAUUUGACGUUACCUACAGAAGAAGCACCGGCUAACUCCGUGCCAGCAGCCGCGGUAAUACGGAGGGUGCGAGCGUUAAUCGGAAUUACUGGGCGUAAAGCGCAUGCAGGCGGCCUGUUAAGUCAGAUGUGAAAGCCCGGGGGCUUAACCUCGGAAUUGCAUUUGAAACUGGCAGGCUAGAGUCUUGUAGAGGGGGUAGGAAUUUCAGGUGUAGCGGUGAAAUGCGUAGAGAUCUGAAGGAAUACCAGUGGCGAAGCGGCCCCCUGGACAAGACUGACGCUCAGAUGCGAAAGCGU